CCAAACUGUGGGAACCAAAAUUCGCACUGUCGAUUUCUGUUUAAAUUAGGAAAGUAGGAGAACCCUAAUUUUCCAGAGGUCCCGGAUAUCUGCUAAUACCACACGCCAAGCAAUCAGAACAUGAAACAAGAACAAUUAUAAAAUAAGAAAUCGAAAGAGAGAGCAAGAUAGUUCUUAUUCUGAAUUUGCGUUUGAGCAUUUAUAAUAAGGUAAGUGCCUGGGGUACGAGAGCUGUCGGCGAGAUUCCUAGUUCUAAAACCCUAAGACGGC
rnacentral:lncRNA from 1 species